CCGAUAGGAAUGCGUCUGAUGACCUUAAAGACUCCCGAAGAGCUCAACCUAACACUAAAAUCACUAAAAUAAAAACGUCGGCCGCGAGCCAUCCUAUUUAUAUAGCGUUUUGUCCUCGAGCAGUACAUCGCCUUAAACAUUACAAAAAAGAAAUUUUCGGGAGAACUAAGGGAGGGGAAUAUUUAGAUCGCAGUAGGAUACACACAACCUUAAUCCUUGUCUGGUUUUAUUAUGAGUGAGCAGCUUGCUCUCUAGGAGCUAAUAGAGAGAUGAAUUUAACCUUUUCGUAGCGCGCGAAUUAAAAUCUUUUUAACUAAGUUAAAGAUUGGGGAUCAAAUUAAGCAAUUUAAUAGAAAUUUUAUCGACUUCGUGGAGUCAAAUCUGUAAGCAAUUUGAAUCUAACCGGGCUAAAUCAGAGCUAUGUUUUCUUUUUGAAUUGCGCUGAAUCCUUCAGAGAUCUAAACGCACCCAGGGGACGCUAUCGCAGUAAAUGUGUUGUUAUUAAUCUUUUGGAGCGUAUACUAACAAUCGGACCGCUUGGUUUAUUCAAGAUUGCUUUAACCUGCUAUGGGCCGUAUACUUCCGUAAAAUCUUACUACAUCGAAUGUUCUUAUUAUUCUACACGUAUUGCUUUCUCUUCAUUACAUAAACAGCUUAGGACUAUAAUACACCCUUUUCCCUUAGUCAAAGCGAAAACUUCGCCCUUAUUUACUAUUACAUUGACUUUUCUAUAUUGUUUGUUUAACGGGCUUUUACAGGAGUGUUUGCUUUAGUCGGGCUGUUGUCUCGCCUUAUACACCACUUCAUCAAAAGAAAAAAGGGCAAACUUCUCUGGCGAGAUCUUUGAGUGAAUCGGCUUCUCCUUGACCAGCUGCACACUCCCUGCUCCCCGCGCCUGGCACCGUCACCAGUGGUAUUUGACUCAUUUAGACCACUAUCCCCGCAAUUGCAAGACCAUUAUACCCUUAGUAUGGCAGCUGAACUUUUUACGAGGAAAUUGCGGCUUUGGAUUGUUCUAAAUAACCCUAACCUGAUGGUGUAGAAUAUGACUCCGAACUUCAGUGAAUAUGCACGAAAGCUCUGUUUUAUCUAAAUAAUGGAUUAUUUUUUUGCUCUGUAUCGCUUAAUAAAUAACUUUUAACUAAUAUUUUGAGCUUGACAGGUCUUCGCUAAUCUUACACCAUUUAAUGAUCUUUCCUUUGAGCUGGUCAAUAAUUAUUUAAAACAGUCAUAUUGUUUCCAGGGUAAAGCGGUACUGAGUGCUCUUAAAUGUAAUCUACUAGUAAAAAAUUCUUAAUGCGAUAUGUUUAUAAUGCCCACUUUAUAAGAGGAGACAAAAAUUACUUAACGUGUGCCAUUAACACUAAAAUAAAGCAAU